GACGAACGCUGGCGGCGUGCCUAAUACAUGCAAGUCGAACGCAGUGGGGACGGGUGAGUAACACGUUGGUAACCUCCCAUCAGAGGGGAUAACACUUGGAAACAGGUGCUAAACCGAUACUGAUGGAUGGCCCCGCGGUGCAUUAGCUAUGUGGUGAGGUAACGGCUCACCAAGGCCACGAUGCAUAGCCGACCUGAGAGGGGGAGCGGCAAGACGGGGACUGAGAAACGGCCCAGACGCCUACGGGAGGCAGCAGUAGGGAAUUUUCGGAAAUGGAGGAAAGUCUGACCGAGCAACUCCGCGUGAGUGAAGAAGGUUUUCGGAUCGUAAAACGCUGUUGUUAGAGAAGCGGUAUCUAACCAGAAAGCCACGGCUAACUACGUGCCAGCCGCCGCGGUAAUAC
rnacentral:rRNA from 1 species